rnacentral:rRNA from 1 species
UACAGAGGGGGCAGGCGUUGUUCGGAAUUACUGGGCGUAAAGGGCGCGUAGGCGGCCCGCUAAGUCGAACGUGAAAUCCCCAGGCUCAACCUGGGAACUGCGUCCGAUACUGGCAGGCUUGAAUCCGGGAGAGGGAUGUGGAAUUCCAGGUGUAGCGGUGAAAUGCGUAGAUAUCUGGAGGAACACCGGUGGCGAAGGCGGCAUCCUGGACCGGUAUUGACGCUGAGGCGCGAAAGCUAGGGGAGCAAACGGG